UGUAGCUCUACACCUGCACCUGCCAUUGAGUUGAUCUCAGAAGCUAAACAUGGUCAGCCUGGUUAGUGCUCGGAUGGGACACCGCUGAGAAUAUCAAGUGCCACAG
rnacentral:rRNA from 1 species